UACGUAGGGGGCAAGCGUUGUCCGGAUUUAUUGGGCGUAAAGAGCGUGUAGGCGGCCAGACAAGUCUGCUGUGAAAAACUCGAGGCUCAACCUCGAGCUGUCGGUGGAAACUGUCUGGCUAGAGUCCGGAAGAGGAGAGUGGAAUUCCUGGUGUAGCGGUGAAAUGCGCAGAUACUCAGGAAGAACCACCCGUGGCGGAAGGCGGCUCUCUGGGACGGUACUGACGCUGAAGACGCGGAAAGCGUGGGGAGCGAACAGG
rnacentral:rRNA from 1 species